rnacentral:rRNA from 1 species
UACAGAGACUGCAAGCGUUAUUCGGAUUCACUGGGCGUAAAGGGUGCGCAGGCCGCGCGGGCAGUCAAAUGUGUAAUCCAGGGGCUCAACCCCUGAACUGCGCUUGAUACUUCCGCGCUCGAGCUUUGGAGAGGAGUCUGGAAUUCUCGGUGUAGCAGUGAAAUGCGUGGAUAUCGAGAAGAACACUUAGGGCGUAGGCAAGACUCUGGACAAAUGCUGACGCUCAUGCACGAAGGCUAGGGUAGCGAACGGG